GUACCAAUCUUCAAGAACAAGGGGGAUGUUCAGAGUUGUACUAAUUACCGUGGAAUUAAGCUGAUGAGCCAUACAAUGAAGCUAUGGGAGAGAGUCACUGAGCACCGCUUAAGAAGAAUGACAAGCGUGACCAAAAAUCAGUUUGGUUUCAUGCCUGGGAGGUCGACCAUGGAAGCCAUUUUCUUGGUACGACAACUUAUGAAGAGAUAUAGGGAGCAAAAGAAGGACUUGCAUAUGGUGUUCAUUUACUUGGAGAAGGCCUAUGAUAAGAUACCGCGGAAUGUCAUGUGGUGGGCCUUGGAGAAACACAAAGUCCCAGCAAAGUACAUUACCCUCAUCAAGGACAUGUACGAUAAUGUUGUGACAAGUGUUCGAACAAGUGAUGUCGACAUUGAUGACUUCCCGAUUAAGAUAGGACUGCAUCAGGGGUCAGCUUUGAGCCCUUAUCUUUUUGCAUUGGUGAUGGAUGAGGUCACAAGGGAUAUACAAGGAGAUAUCCCAUGGUGUAUGCUCUUUGCGGAUGAUGUGGUGCUAGUUGACGAUAGUCAGACAGGGGUAAAUAGGAAGUUAGAGUUAUGGAGACAAACCUUGGAAUCGAAAGGGUUUAGGCUUAGUAGAACUAAAACCGAGUACAUGAUGUGCGGUCUCAGUACUACUAGGUGUGAGGAGGAG
rnacentral:rRNA from 1 species